rnacentral:siRNA from 1 species
GUCCGGUGCGCUCUGAUUGGUUA